AGUGAACGCUGGCGGUAGGCCUAACACAUGCAAGUCGAACGGCAGCACAGUAAGAGCUUGCUCUUACGGGUGGCGAGUGGCGGACGGGUGAGGAAUACAUCGGAAUCUACUUUUUCGUGGGGGAUAACGUAGGGAAACUUACGCUAAUACCGCAUACGACCUACGGGUGAAAGCAGGGGAUCUUCGGACCUUGCGCGAUUGAAUGAGCCGAUGUCGGAUUAGCUAGUUGGCGGGGUAAAGGCCCACCAAGGCGACGAUCCGUAGCUGGUCUGAGAGGAUGAUCGGCGACACUGGAACGGAGACACGGUCCAGACUCCUACGGGAGGCAGCAGUGGGGAAUAUUGGACAAUGGGGGCAAGCCUGAUACAGCGAUACCGCGUGGGUGAAGAAGGCCUUCGGGUUGUAAAGCCCUUUUGUUGGGAAAGAAAAGCAGCAGGUUAAUACCCCGCUGUUCUGACGGUACCCAAAGAAUAAGCACCGGCUAACUUCGUG
rnacentral:rRNA from 1 species